UGAAAGCACGUGACUCCUGAAGAAACAAACGCUCAGGUAGAAACAACAGUUACUAUAUGAAAGCGUUUCGUCAGCUACCGGCAAUUGACACUGGGGACGACAGUUUUACGACGAGCUUUGUCACCUUUUUGUCGCUCAAUGGUUCAUAGACUUAUUGCUAGACUACCGCAUAAUGUUACGGCGCGUGCCAGCGGGGGGUCACGAAAAACGCAUACGACUGGAAGCCACUAUGAUCAAGCUUUUCUAGUAACUCUAAUAGUCUCUGACUUUUGUCGAAACGUGAAAAACCUGAAUACGCGUUAAAUCCCUUAUACGCAUAAAGUUAGGUCGUCCAGUUGCGCCCUUUGAGACCUUUCGGCAGUCCCUCCAAGCCUUUGGACUCGACGGGCUGAUAUCCUUUGAACAGGAUUUAGUUGGUUUGAAAGUUGGAACUUACACAGUAUCUAGUUUCUAGAUAGUUGUCGACAGUCUUAGAUGAGGCUAUCAUCAAGAUUUAUGAUAAGUGCUUUACUUGGAAUAUUUAACCAUUUAUUCCUACUGAGUUUAGUGAGCAGCUUAGCAAUGGUUCUUUUGAACCAUUGCAUAAGCAGACAGAUACUUGUCUUCAAAGCGACUCUUUAGAGAACUCGCGUGGAAUCCAUUCGUAGAUGAACGACGCUGCUGAUGCAGCUCUCUAGCUCACUAUAUGGUACAUCGGCUGAAACGAGUCAAAUGCCCCGCCGAGUUGACGAACGGGGCCCAUUUUAUUGGGCGACGUCAAGGAUUAGAGUGCAAUUGUGUUACCUGUUUGAACGGUUCGGAAGCUUUCCUCUGAGAUAAAGGCUAGACACCGCGGCGGAUCAAGUUGUUGCGGUCGCUACUGCUUUGAAUAAACCCGUCAGUUUAUUUAAGGUGGUUUAUUUAAGAGGAUGAACUGGUGUAGGCUGGACUGAGAUGACAUUGAACCGUCGAAGCCGUCCGACCCAUCUUACCCGUACGUAUAUACAUGCUUCGAAGGAAGUCAACUUGUCAGCCAGAAGAACACAGCCAAAUCAUCGAAGAAGAUGCUGUUCGACGUGCACAAACGAUAACAUACUCAAACGGUAACUAGGAGUGCGCCAACCCGACUCAUUGUCUAGAAAGCUGGCGAAACUUAUCGUUAUUGGAAUGCCUGACCAAAAGAGGAACAGCUCAUGUCGUCCCACGGUCCUCAAUUCAAAAGGACGGAACGCGAUUGAA